rnacentral:rRNA from 1 species
GUAGGGAAUAUUGGGCAAUGGUCGGAAGACUGACCCAGCCAUGCCGCGUGCAGGAAGACGGCCCUCUGGGUUGUAAACUGCUUUUAUCUGGGAAGAAAAAGGCCAUGCGUGGCAAAUUGCCGGUACCAGAUGAAUAAGCACCGGCUAACUCCGUGCCAGCAGCCGCGGUAAUACGGAGGGUGCGAGCGUUGUCCGGAUUUAUUGGGUUUAAAGGGUGCGUAGGAGGCUGAUUAAGUCAGCGGUGAAAGACUUCGGCUUAACCGGAGCAGUGCCGUUGAUACUGGUUGGCUUGAGUGUCGGAGGGGUACAUGGAAUUGAUGGUGUAGCGGUGAAAUGCAUAGAUACCAUCAGGAACACCGAUAGCGAAGGCAUUGUACUGGCCGACAACUGACGCUGAUGCACGAAAGUGUGGGGAUCGAACAGGAUUAGAUACCCGAGUAGUCC